rnacentral:rRNA from 1 species
GAUGAACGCUGGCGGCGUGCCUAAUACAUGCAAGUCGAGCGAACAGACGAGGCGCUUGCGCCUCUGACGUUAGCGGCGGACGGGAGAGUAACGCGUGGAUAACCUACCUAUAAGACGGGGAUAACUUCGGGAAACCGGCGCUAAUACCGGAUAAUAUAUUGAACCGCAGGGUGCAAUAGUAAAAGACGGUGUUGCUGGCACGUAUAGAUGGAUCCGAGCUGCAUUAGCUAGUUGGUAAGGUAACGGCUUACCAAGGCAACGAUGCGUGGCCGACCUGAGAGGGUGGUCGGCCACCCUGGAACGGGGCCACGGACCAGACUCCUACGGGAGGCCGCAGUAGGCAAUCUUCCGCAAUGGGCGAAAGCCUUACGGAGCAACGCCGCGUGAGUUAUGACGGUCUUCGGAUCGUAAAACUCUGUUAUUAGGGAAGAACAAAUGUGUAAGUAACUAUGCACGUCUUGACGGUACCUAAUCAGAAAGCCCCGGCUAACUACGUG